GUACACUCCUGCGGGAGGCAGCAGUGGGGAAUUUUGGACAAUGGGCGAAAGCCUGAUCCAGCCAUGCCGCGUGCAGGAUGAAGGCCUUCGGGUUGUAAACUGCUUUUGUACGGAACGAAACGGCCUUUUCUAAUAAAGAGGGCUAAUGACGGUACCGUAAGAAUAAGCACCGGCUAACUACGUGCCAGCAGCCGCGGUAAUACGUAGGGUGCAAGCGUUAAUCGGAAUUACUGGGCGUAAAGCGUGCGCAGGCGGUUAUGUAAGACAGUUGUGAAAUCCCCGGGCUCAACCUGGGAACUGCAUCUGUGACUGCAUAGCUAGAGUACGGUAGAGGGGGAUGGAAUUCCGCGUGUAGCAGUGAAAUGCGUAGAUAUGCGGAGGAACGCCGAUGGCGAAGGCAAUCCCCUGGACCUGUACUGACGCUCAUGCACGAAAGCGUGGGGAGCAAACAGGAUUAGAUACCCCAGUAGUCC
rnacentral:rRNA from 1 species